UGUGCACACGCGUGCACAUGCUCGGGUGUGUGUGGUUAUAGGAUGUGCCCUACAGGAUAAGCCUGAGCCUUCUCGUGCCCAUGAUGGGCUAAGAUACCCCCAAGAGGUCUGAGUGUAGCAAUAGGAAUUCCCAGUGUGCUUUCAAAUCACUAUGGAAUUCAUUCAUUCAUUCAUUCAUUCAUCCACCUGAAAACACGUAUUGAAAACAUACUAUGUGCCAGCUUUAGUUUUCAGCGCCGGGAAGCCUCGUUGUGAUUUCCUCCGAUUGUAGAAUGUGACGAGGUGUUCUCAACUCAAGGCCCACGGGAGAAGAGAAACCUCAUUCUUGGAGUGAGAGAGAAAGAAAGUGGUGAACAUUGAACGCCCUCCCUCUCCAUCUUGGCCAGAGCGUAGGAAGGUGUAGAGUAGAGGCUCACGGCUCCUGAGACCCACCUCUGCUCUGUGCUGCUGCGUAGAGCUCUCUCCUUGGGGCCUCCAGGGCACAAGCUUGAGGGACAGGGCCCAUCUUUGGUCAGGGUAUUCGGUCAUCCGACAAUGCCUUGCAGGUAGAUCUCUGCUGAGGGAAAGGAAUGCGGUGAGGAAGGCCGGACGGACAGGGUGCAGGGAGGAGGGCUCAUC
rnacentral:lncRNA from 1 species